CUACCUCCUCGCGGACUACAGGCCGUUCUCGGGUAGAGGUAGAUACUCGGCUCGAGGAGGCCUACGCAGUAGCUUACGAGGAGUAUCUCGAGAAGAUUAAGGAGCAUGACCUUGUGAAAGAUGCCUAUGUCCAGUGGACGAGCAACCAGAUGGCGAGUUUCACUCGGUUCAUG